AGUGAACGCUGGCGGUAGGCCUAACACAUGCAAGUCGAACGGCAGCACAGUAAGAGCUUGCUCUUACGGGUGGCGAGUGGCGGACGGGUGAGGGAUACAUCGGAAUCUACUUUUUCGUGGGGGAUAACGUAGGGAAACUUACGCUAAUACCGCAUACGACCUACGGGUGAAAGCAGGGGAUCUUCGGACCUUGCGCGAUUGAAUGAGCCGAUGUCGGAUUAGCUAGUUGGCGGGGUAAAGGCCCACCAAGGCGACGAUCCGUAGCUGGUCUGAGAGGAUGAUCAGCCACACUGGAACUGAGACACGGUCCAGACUCCUACGGGAGGCAGCAGUGGGGAAUAUUGGACAAUGGGCGCAAGCCUGAUCCAGCCAUACCGCGUGGGUGAAGAAGGCCUUCGGGUUGUAAAGCCCUUUUGUUGGGAAAGAAAAGCAGCAGGUUAAUACCCCGCUGUUCCGACGGUACCCAAAGAAUAAGCACCGGCUAACUUCGUG
rnacentral:rRNA from 1 species